rnacentral:rRNA from 1 species
UACGGAGGGGGCUAGCGUUGUUCGGAAUUACUGGGCGUAAAGCGCACGUAGGCGGCUUUGUAAGUUAGAGGUGAAAGCCUGGGGCUCAACUCCAGAACUGCCUUUAAAACUGCAUCGCUUGAAUCCAGGAGAGGUGAGUGGAAUUCCGAGUGUAGAGGUGAAAUUCGUAGAUAUUCGGAAGAACACCAGUGGCGAAGGCGGCUCACUGGACCGGUACUGACGCUGGGGUGCGAAAGCGUGGGGAGCAAACAGG